UUUGGCCUACGGGACGCAGCAGUGGGGAAUAUUGGACAAUGGGGGAAACCCUGAUCCAGCGACGCCGCGUGAGUGAAGAAGUACUUCGGUACGUAAAGCUCUAUCAGCAGGAAAGAAAAUGACGGUACCUGACUAAGAAGCCCCGGCUAACUACGUGCCAGCAGCCGCGGUAAUACGUAGGGGGCAAGCGUUAUCCGGAUUUACUGGGUGUAAAGGGAGCGUAGAUGGCAGCGCAAGUCUGAAGUGAAAUCCCAUGGCUUAACCAUGGAACUGCUUUGGAAACUGUGCAGCUGGAGUGCAGGAGG
rnacentral:rRNA from 1 species